GAUGAACGCUGGCGGCGUGCCUAAUACAUGCAAGUCGAGCGAACGGACGAGAAGCUUGCUUCUCUGAUGUUAGCGGCGGACGGGUGAGUAACACGUGGAUAACCUACUUAUAAGACUGGGAUAACUUCGGGAAACCGGAGCUAAUACCGGAUAAUCUUUUGAAUCGCAUGGUUCAAAAGUGAAAGACGGUCUUGCUGUUACUUCUAGAUGGAUCCGCGAUGCAUUAGCUAGUUGGUAAGGUAACGGCGUACCAAGGCAACGAUGCAUAGCCGACCUGAGAGGGUGAACGGCGACACUGGAGCUGAAGCACGGUCCGAACUCCUACGAGAGGCAGCAGUAGGGAAUCUUCCGCAGUGGGCGGAAGCCUGACGGAGCAACGCCGCGUGAGUGAAGAAAGUCUUCGGAUCGUAAAACUCUGUUAUUAGGGAAGAACAUAUGUGUAAGGAACUGUGCACAUCUUGACGGUACCUAAUCAGAAAGCCACGGCUAACUACGUG
rnacentral:rRNA from 1 species